rnacentral:rRNA from 1 species
AUACGGAGGAUCCGAGCGUUAUCCGGAUUUAUUGGGUUUAACGGGUGCGCAGGCGGCCAUUUAAGUCAGCGGUUAAAUCGUGGGGCUCAACCCCAUUCUGCCGUUGAUACUGGGUGGCUUGAUUGCGGUCGAGGUUGGCGGAAUUCGUUGUGUAGAGGUGAAAUGCAUAGAUAUGACGAAGAACACCGAUUGCGUAGGCAGCUGACCAGACCGCAAAUGACGCUCAUGCACGAAAGUGCGGGGAUCGAACAGGAUUAGAUACCCUGGUAGUCCGCACAGUAAACGAUGAAUACUUGUUUUCGGCGAUAUAAUGUCGGAGGCAAAGCGAAAGCGAUAAGUAUUCCACCUGGGGAGUACGCCGGCAACGGUGAAACUCAAAUGAAUUGACGGGG